AACAAAUCCUCCGUCCUGAGCUUCUCUACCCGGGAAAAACAAGGAGGAAACGGUCCAUCUUGCCUUUGUUUGCGGGGAAUUUCAGAAUUCCCAUCUCUGCUCUUUUAUUCUGUGCUCUUAGCCAAAGGCAAACCCUGAACCAUACACUAGAGGUCGCUGUUCAUUACGCUCCAACCUCAUCUUCAAGGUGGGUGGGGGAAGGGCUGACCGCCUCUCUUCUCCAUGUAGUGGGAGGAACCUGCAGGCUCCGGCGGCUGGGAAAUCUGUUUGGUCACACCCAGAGCAGCCUGCAGCAUUUGUUAAUGUCCUCGUGGGAAGUGACUUGAACAUCUUCAAAACCACCUGGACCUCCUCUUACUGGUGUCACAAGCUGGCGUCCAUAGGCCUGCAAAAGCUGUCAGUUUUGAGGCUGAGAAGGGGAGCUGAUGUGAGCAAGAGGAUGAAGAUGCUGCCUCCCCGCCCCCCAUGGUGGCAGGUGACAGAAAUUGUUGCAUAAAUGACCAGAAAAUGAGCUGAGGUCACAUGGUCUGCUGAAGGUUUUUACAGCACCUCAGACACAGAGCUCCUCGCAUUACUCCUGGUGUGUCAGUAUUGGCUCAUCUCACAGAGCCUGAAGCUGAAGUUCAUUUCCAAUUUCCUAAAC
ensembl:lncRNA